GGCUCGUUGGUCUAGGGGUAUGAUUCUCGCUUCGGUUGCGAGAGGUCCCGGGUUCAAUUCCUGGUCGAGCCC
rnacentral:tRNA from 1 species